rnacentral:rRNA from 1 species
ACGCUCGACACCUACGGGAGGAGCAGUGAGGAAUAUUGGUCAAUGGGCGCUAGCCUGAACCAGCCAAGUAGCGUGAAGGAUGAAGGCUCUAUGGGUCGUAAACUUCUUUUAUAUAAGAAUAAAGUGCAGUAUGUAUACUGUUUUGUAUGUAUUAUAUGAAUAAGGAUCGGCUAACUCCGUGCUAGCAGCCGCGGUAAUCUGAGCGGGCUGGCAAGGC